GAAAGCGUGGGGAGCGAACAGGAUUAGAUACCCUGGUAGUCCACGCCGUAAACGAUGGAUACUAUUAGUAUGGAGUAUCGACCCUCUGUGCUGAAAAGCUAACGCGAUAAAUAUGCCGCCUGGGGAGUACGGCCGCAAGGCUAAAACUCAAAGGAAUUGACGGGGCUCCGCACAAGCAGUGGAGGAUGUGGUUUAAUCCGAAGCUACGCGCAGAACCUUACCAAGGCUUGAAAUCCCUAUCGUACUCCUAGGAAACUAGGAGGUCAGUUCGGCUGGAUAGGUGACAGAUGCUGCAUGGCCGUCGUCAGCUCGUGUCGUGAGAUGUUGGGUUAAGUCCCGCAACGAGCGCAACCCUUGUCGUGUGUUGUAUUUUUCACGCGAGACCGCCCGGGCCAACCGGGAGGAAGGUGGGGAUGACGUCAGGUCGGCAUGGCUCUUACGCCUUGGGCCACACACGUCCUACAAUGGCUGGUACAACGGGUCGCGAAACCGCGAGGUGGAGCUAAUCCCAUCAAAACCAGUCUCAGUUCGGAUUGCAGGCUGAAACUCGCCUGCAUGAAGCUGGAAUUGCUAGUAACCGUAGGUCAGCAUACUACGGUGAAUACGUUCCCGGAGCUUGUACACACCGCCCGUCACACCACGAAAGUUGGGGGUGCCCGACGUGCCUACUUUGCUAGGCCCUAAGGCAAACCCAGUGAUUGGGGUGAAGUCGUAACAAGGUAUCCGUACCGGAAGGUGCGGAUG
rnacentral:rRNA from 1 species